UGCACAAGAUGAGAAAUACCCAAUUUUGAU
rnacentral:piRNA from 1 species